CGGUGUCCCUGCGUCCAUCCGGCUGCAACAGGAAACCCAACACCGUGGCAGCGGGACACAAAGCGCUGAGCUCCCCCCUGAGCUCCCCCCUGAGCUCCCCCCUGAGCUCCACUCUCCUGUGGCCGGGGGUAUAAAACCUCCUGGGGGCCACGACUCGCCUCCAGCUCCGUGCCUGCAGGCGAGGGGCCCCUCUCCCUGCGGCCCGGGGCCACUGCCGUGCCCCAGCCAUGGCCACGGGCGAGCUGACCGAGCUGGAGACGGCCAUCGAGAAAAUCGUCACCGUCUUCUUCAGCUAUGCGGAGAAGGAGGGCAAGAGGGGCACGCUGACAGACAGCGAGUUCAAGGAGCUGGUCCAGCUCCAGCUGCCCAACCUGAUGAAGGAUGUCCCCUCCCUGGAGGAGAAGAUGAAGGAACUGGAUGUGAACAACGACAAGGAGCUGAAAUUCAAUGAGUACUGGCGGCUGAUCGGGGAGCUGGCGAAGGCCAUGAGGAGGGAGAAAGCGGGGAAGAAGAACUCCCAGAUCUCAGCUGUACCAGGAAGAUCCCCACCACGGGGUCACCCAUCCUGGAGCCGUCCCGCUGGCCGGGCGGCGGUUCCCACGCGGUGCCGCGCGGCUCUGCCGUGCCGGGCUGGACUGGGGAGCCGUCGAUGUGGCCGGGAAGGAGGCGUUUCCCAGCCCCACGCUGGCCCAGGGCCAGGCUCCCAAAUGAGACGCCUUGCACCACACCGCAGCUGCCGGCGCGCAGGGAGCUCCCACUCACACCCCGCGGUAUAAAACCCCGGCACGCCGCAGCCCGCGCACACCCGCCAGAGCCCGUGCAGCAGCUCCCCAAGACCCCGUGGGAGAGGACAGCCCGUCCAUCACUGCCACCGAGGACCUACAGACCCUGCGAGGAGCAGCAUGGGCCA